ACGGUGGGAUUCAUGACUGGGUGAAGUCGUAACAAGGUAGCCGUAGGUGAACCUGCAGAAGGAUCA
rnacentral:rRNA from 1 species